GAUGAACGCUGGCGGCGUGCCUAAUACAUGCAAGUCGAGCGAACAGACGAGGAGCUUGCUCCUCUGACGUUAGCGGCGGACGGGUGAGUAACACGUGGAUAACCUACCUAUAAGACUGGGAUAACUUCGGGAAACCGGAGCUAAUACCGGAUAAUAUAUUGAACCGCAUGGUUCAAUAGUGAAAGACGGUUUUGCUGUCACUUAUAGAUGGAUCCGCGCCGCAUUAGCUAGUUGGUAAGGUAACGGCUUACCAAGGCAACGAUGCGUAGCCGACCUGAGAGGGUGGUCGGCUACCCGGGAACUGAGACACGGUGGAGACUCCGACGGGAGGAAGCAGUAGGGAAUCUUACGCAAUGGGCGAAAGCCUGACGGAGCAACGCCGCGUGAGUGAUGAAGGUGUUCGGAUCGGAAAACUCUGUUAGUAGGGAAGAACAAAUGUGUAAGUAACUAUGCACGUCUUGACGGUACCUAAUAAGAAAGCCACGGCUAACUACGUG
rnacentral:rRNA from 1 species